rnacentral:rRNA from 1 species
AGCGAACGCUGGCGGCAGGCUUAACACAUGCAAGUCGAGCGGGCGUAGCAAUACGUCAGCGGCAGACGGGUGAGUAACGCGUGGGAACAUACCUUUUGGUUCGGAACAACACAGGGAAACUUGUGCUAAUACCGGAUAAGCCCUUACGGGGAAAGAUUUAUCGCCGAAAGAUUGGCCCGCGUCUGAUUAGCUAGUUGGUGAGGUAACGGCUCACCAAGGCGACGAUCAGUAGCUGGCUGAGAGGAUGAUCAGCCACAUUGGGACUGAGACACGGCCCAAACUCCUACGGGAGGCAGCAGUGGGGGAAUAUUGGACAAUGGGCGCAAGCCUGAUCCAGCCAUGCCGCGUGAGUGAUGAAGGCCCUAGGGUUGUAAAGCUCUUUUGUGCGGGAAGAUAAUGACGUACGCAAGAAUAGCCCCGCUAACUUCGUGCCAGCCGCCGCAGUAAC